AUGGCUGUCGUCAGCUCGUGUCGUGAGAUGUUGGGUUAAGUCCCGCAACGAGCGCAACCCUUGUCCUAUGUUGCCAGCGCGUAAUGGCGGGGACUCGUAGGAGACUGCCGGGGUCAACUCGGAGGAAGGUGGGGACGACGUCAAGUCAUCAUGCCCCUUACGUCCAGGGCUGCACACAUGCUACAAUGGCCGGUACAGAGGGCUGCUAUCCCGCGAGGGUGAGCGAAUCCCAAAAAGCCGGUCUCAGUUCGGAUUGGAGUCUGCAACUCGACUCCAUGAAGUCGGAGUCGCUAGUAAUCCCGGAUCAGCAACGCCGGGGUGAAUACGUUCCCGGGCCUUGUACACACCGCCCGUCAAACCACGAAAGUCGGCAACACCCGAAGCCGGUGACCCAACCUUAGGGAGGGAGCCGUCGAAGGUGGGGUUGGUGAUUGGGGUUAAGUCGUAACAAGGUAGCCGUACCGGAAGGUGCGGCUGGAUCACCUCCUUUCUAAGGAUUCACGAUCGAUCUCUCAUUGAAUAUUUCAGUGGGGGAUCGUGAUUCCCAGUCGAUCACUGGUUACUUGUUGGCUGAUGUCAUCCUGCCGGGUUGAUUUCAAGGCUUGCCUUGAUCAUGUCCCCGAUUCGGGCUCUGCAUCUUUCUUCAGACUGUUCCUAUUCCGUUCCCAGGGAGCGGCUUUGCUGCGUCCCUAUGGUCCCUUGAGAACUCCAUAGCGAGCACGAGCAUCUGAUUCUCCAAGAUAUAAAGAGCCAACGGUGAAUGCCUUGGCGCCUGAUGCCGAAGAAGGACGUGGGAGGCUGCGAAAAGCCACGGGGAGCUGUCUACCAAGCUUUGAUCCGUGGAUGUCCGAAUGGGGAAACCCGG
rnacentral:sRNA from 1 species